AUGUCGUACUAUAUGUGUCCAGUAAGUGGCAGUAAUGCACCAAAUAUAGGCGUGCCGACAGAAAAGAAGAAGAACAAGAAAGGUGUAGGGUACUGUCUGCUGAGGGAAACCAUGGACCAUGUUCUUUUUUGUUGCAAUAAAUAUGCUGUCCAAAGGAAAAUUUUUUCUUCUCUUAAACACAAGGGUCACAAAGAAUUUUCUUGGACAGGAUUGCUUUCUUAUGGGAAGAAGAAGAAGAAGAAGAAGAAGGCUGGAGGGAAACUAUUGUUUGCUGCCUUUUCCCCCCUUUCAAUUGACCCAUUUAUUGAGAUAUCUCAGGAUUUCUUGCUCAAUAAGGGGAUUUGUGUUUCUGGUGUAUCAUGGACUCAAAGAAGAGCUUUCCCUGUGGAUUCUGUUAUCAUUCCUGGAAAUAACUGGGUGGACUAA
rnacentral:lncRNA from 1 species